rnacentral:rRNA from 1 species
AGCAGCCGCGGUAAUUCCAGCUCCAAUAGCGUAUAUUAAAGUUGUUGCAGUUAAAAAGCUCGUAGUUGAAUUUCGGGAUCGAAUUGUCGGUCGUGCUUCGGUACGCACUGGCAUUAUCGGUUUCUACCUUCUGAAGAACCGCGAUGUCAUUAAUUUGGUGUCGUGGGGAAUCAGGACUGUUACUUUGAAAAAAUUAGAGUGUUUAAAGCAGGCUUACGCUUGAAUACAUUAGCAUGGAAUAAUGAAAUAGGACGUUUGAUUCUAUUUUGUUGGUUUCUAGGAUCGACGUAAUGAUUAAUAGGGAUAGUUGGGGGCAUUAGUAUUCAAUUGUCAGAGGUGAAAUUCUUGGAUUUAUUGAAGACUAACUACUGCGAAAGCAUUUGCCAAGGAUGUUUUCAUUAAUCAAGAACGAAAGUUAGGGGAUCGAAGACGAUCAGAUACCGUCGUAGUCUUAACCAUAAACUAUGCCGACUAGGGAUCGGAUGAUGUUAAUUUUAUAAUGACUC